GAUGAACGCUGACAGAAUGCUUAACACAUGCAAGUCGACUGGAAUUCUUCUUCGGAAGAUAGUACGGUGGCGGACGGGUGAGUAACGCGUAAAGAAUUUGCCCUUCAGACUGGGACAACUAACCGAAAGGUUAGCUAAUACCGGAUAUUAUGAGACCUCGGCAUCGAGGACUCAUGAAAGCUAUAUGCGCUGGAGGAGAACUUUGCGUCCCAUUAGGUAGUUGGUAGGGUAAUGGCCUACCAAGCCGACGAUGGGUAGCCGGCCUGAGAGGGUGAACGGCCACAAGGGGACUGAGACACGGCCCUUACUCCUNACGGGAGGCAGCAGUGGGGAAUAUUGGACAAUGGGCCAAAAGUCUGAUCCAGCAAUUCUGUGUGCACGAUGAAGGUCUUCGGAUUGUAAAGUGCUUUCAGGUGGGAAGAAGAAAGUGACGGUACCACCAGAAGAAGCGACGCUAAAU
rnacentral:rRNA from 1 species